UUUUUAAUAAAUUUCAAAGUGCAAAAACUGGCAUCAAUGUAGCCAAAUUAUUAGCCAAGAUUGCAUAUUCUCACUGCAGAAGCCUGUGGAAACAAGUCCUAUUAUCUGCAAAUCUGAAGCUCAUCCUGCAAGAUUAACCUCUUGAGGAAGAUUUACUCUGAGAUAAAAGAGGA